GACGAACGCUGGCGGCGUGCUUAACACAUGCAAGUCGAGCGGUAAGGCCCUUUCGGGGUACGACGAGCGGCGAACGGGUAGAGUAACACGUGGGUGACCUCGCCCUCCAGCUCUGGGAGUAAGACCCGGGAAACCGUGGGUCGUAAUACCGGAUAUGACUUCAUGACGCAUGUUGUGGAGUGGAAAGCCUUGUGCGGCUGAGGAU
rnacentral:rRNA from 1 species